rnacentral:rRNA from 1 species
GGUCCUAAGGUAGCGAAAUUCCUUGUCGGGUAAGUUCCGACCCGCACGAAUGGUGUAACGAUCUGGGCACUGUCUCAACUACCCACCCGGCGAAAUUGUAGUACCGGUGAAGAUGCCGGUUACCUGCGGCAAGACGGAAAGACCCCAUGGAGCUUUACUGUAGCCUGAUAUUGGGUUUCGGAAAUCUAUGUACAGGAUAGGCGGGAGACUAGGAAACAUGAGCGUCAGCUUGUGUGGAGUCGAUGUUGGGAUACCGCCCUUAGGUUUCUGGAAUUCUAACCUGCGGCCGUGAAUCCGGUCGGGGGACAUUGUCAGGUGGGCAGUUUGACUGGGGCGGUCGCCUCCGAAAAGGUAACGGAGGCGCUCAAAGGUUAGCUCAGCACGGACGGAAACCGUGCCUCUGAGUGUAAACGCAAAAGCUAGCCUAACUGCGAGGGUGACGGCCCGAGCAGUAACGAAAGUUGGAGUUAGUGAUCCGGCGGUAUGUGAAUGGAAAUGCCGUCGCUCAACGGAUAAAAGCUACCCUGGGGAUAACAGGCUGAUCUCCCCCAAGAGUCCACAUCGACGGGGAGGUUUGGCACCUCGAUGUCGGCUCAUCACAUCCUGGGGCUGUAUUCGGUCCCAAGGGUUCGGCUGUUCGCCGAUUAAAGUGGUACGCGAGCUGGGUUCAGAACGUCGCGAGACAGUUCGGUCCCUAUCUGUCGUGGGCGCAGGAUAUUUGAGGAGCUCUGUCCUUAGUACGAGAGGACCGGGAUGGACGUACCUCUGGUGCACCAGUUGUCAUGCCAAUGGCACGGCUGGGCAGCUAUGUACGGAACGGAUAAACGCUGAAAGCAUCUAAGCGUGAAGCCGACUCCAAGAUUAGAUAUCCCAUCGUAUAACGAGUAAGACCCCUUGAAGACUACGAGGUUGAUAGGCUGCGUGUGUAAGUGCCGUGAGGCAUUCAGCUUGGCAGUACUAAUAGGUCGAGGGCUUGACCAC